rnacentral:rRNA from 1 species
AAUAUUGUACAAUGGGGGGAACCCUGAUCCAGCCAUGCCGUGUGUGUGAAGAAGGNCUNNGGAUUNUNAAGCACUUUACGUUUNNNNNGAGAGUUGUAGGCUAAUACCUUGCACUUCUGACGUUACCAACAGAAUAAACACCGGCAAACUGCGUGCCGGCAGCCGCGGUAAUACGAAUGGUGCAAGCGUUAAUCGGAAUUACUGGGCGUAAAGCGCGCGUAGGUGGUUCGUUAAGUUGGAAGUGAAAGCCCCGGGCUUAAACUGGGAAUUGCUUUCAAAACUGACGAGCUAGAGUACGGUAGAGGGUAGUGGAAUUUCCUGUGUAGCGGUGAAAUGCGUAGAUAUAGGAAGGAACAUCAGUGGCGAAGGCGACUACCUGGACUGAUACUGACACUGAGGUGCGAAAGCGUGGGGAGCAAACAGG